ensembl:lncRNA
AUGACAGAACGACGCGACCAUACUAUGGACCCAGCAGACAUUGAACUUCAGGAGCGACGCCGAGUAGCCUUUGCCCAGCUGGAGGAGGAACUCCGCUGGAAGCCAUGGCGCACCCCUGACGUCGGGCGCAUUUUCCAUGGAACUCGGCUGGCUCUCGGUGGGCCCCGGAGCUGCCAGAAGUCUCCACCUGUUGCUCCGCUGGCACUCAAGAUGCGGCCGCUUCAGUUGGGAGUCCUCCGUAUGGCUUCAGGUGCUCACGCUCCAGCCUCAGCGUCACCGUUCUGUGCACCAGAGGCUCAGUUGCUUACGCCGCCAGCUACCUCUGCCCAAAGGAAACGGCGCUCACUUCGCCGUCAUAUGGACACUUCUGAGCAACCUCCUAUGGUGAGCCAAAAGGACUACACUUUCCACUCUCCACCUGAGCCAUUAAACAGUAAGGAUUAUGAGCUCACCUCAGAGACUUUCGGGACCUCGUUUCUCGAUGAGGAUUUGGAUUGGGAGGCCAGUUUUGGUUUAAGUCCUCACAAGCUAGUUAAUGACAACGUACAUUCUUCUAAGACUGUUGGUUCUUGGACUGCACAUCAUGGUGGAAACAAGCUAAAACCCACUUUUGCCAAGUCUGUUUUUUCUAACCCUGGCCACAUAAAUUCUGAGACUGUGAAAACUGUUAAGACUGUUAGACGUGGUGGUGGUAGGAAGCUAAGAAACUUUGUAGAGGAGUCUGUGUUUGCUGAACCUACUCCUUCGCCCCAUUGUGUUCCUGCUCCCAGGGCAGCUCGGGCCCAGCAUUCCCUUGCACCUGUUUCAGUGCUUCAGGUGAGGGAGGCUGAGGUCCAGCUGGUCCCUGCUCCAGUGUCCAGGCCGGCUGAGGCUCUGCCUGUCGCUGCACCCGCACCAGCUCCUCGGGUGGGGACAGCAGCUGCCCAGCCAUUGACGGUGCCUGUCCCGGCUCCCAGCGUGAGGAUGACCGGGAACCAGUUAGCUCCAGCACCCGUACCUUCUCCUCGGGGGGGAGUGGCUGGUGUCCGACAGGUACCUGCACCUGUUUCUGACCUCGCUGGAGGCUCAGGUGAGCCCAUCCAGCGGUUGCUUUCAGGUUCUGGAGGCUCAGGGGAACUAGCUCAGUUUACUGCUAAUCCACCACCUAACCCCCCAUUACUACCAUCGUUACAACAGUCAAUAGAACUUAAACUUCUAUCAAUAGCUCGGACAUUAGCUCACCUCUCAGCUCAGUCGCCUGCUCUGUUACCACCUGCCUCGCCUGGAGGGUCCGAGGGGCCCGUCCAGCCUUCUGUUCCCGCUUGGGGUUCUGGAGAACCGCACCAGCCUUUGUUUGUCUCCGUUGGAGGGUCCGAGGGGCCCGUCCAGCCUUCUGUUCCCGCUGGGGGUUCUGGAGAACCGCACCAGUCUUUGUUCGCCUUCGCUGGAGGGUCUGAGGGGCCCAUCCAGCCUUCGUUGCCACCUCCUGCGGCUCCCACGCCGUCGCCUGCAGUGCCACCACCUGUUUCGUCGCCUGCAGCUUCGCCGUCGCCUGGUCCAGCUCUGGCUUCUGCUUCGCCGUCGCCUGGUCCAGCUCUGGCUUCUGCUUCGCCGUCGCCUGGUCCAGCUCUGGCUUCUGCUUCGCCGUCGCCUGGUCCAGCUCUGGCUUCGCCUGCUCGUCCUGCACGUCCUGUCCGGCCUGUUCGUCCUGCACGUCCUGUCCGGCCUGUUCGUCCUGCACGUCCUGUCCGGCCGUUUUCCAGGCCAACGACUGGACGUCCUCGCCAUCGUGGACGGCCUCCUGACCUGCUCCGUCGCCGCCGGUGCCACCCGCCCGGCCGGCCUCCUGACCUGCUCCGUCGCCGCCGGUGCCUCCCGCCCGGCCGGCCUCCUGACCUGCUCCGUCGCCGCCGGUGCCUCCCGCCCGGCCGGCCUCCUGACCUGCUCCGUCGCCGCCGGUGCCUCCCGCCCGGUCGGCCUCCUGAGCUUUUUUCUGGACUCUUGUGCCGUCGUCCUCCGGGCCGGCCCCUGAACUGCCCGGGUUUGGACUCUUGGGCCGUCGUCCUCCGGGCCGGCCCCCUGAACUUUGUGUGGAUUGUUUUUCCUGGCCGCCUGUGUGUUUUGUUAUGUUGCUUUCCAGGCUCCGGUGUUUGCGCUUUUUUUGUUUCUUGCUCCUUGUUUGGUUGUUUCAAGCCCUCCGUCCUGUUUCCCCACCGCCCGCCCUGGUUGGGUUGUUUUUCGUUUUUGGUGUUCUGGUUUGGGCUGUCUGGAAGCCAGCCCUUAAGGGGGGGUACUGUUAGGAUCCCUGGGUCAUCGACCCAGUGGUUUGUGUUUUGGUUCUUUGAGUUAUUUCAUUAUAUUCUAGUUUUGCUUUUUGGGUUUUUGGAUUAUUCUUAG